rnacentral:piRNA from 1 species
UCCAUCACUUAAUAAGGAAAUCUGUGCUCUU